UACGAAGGGGGCUAGCGUUGUUCGGAAUUACUGGGCGUAAAGCGCACGUAGGCGGAUAUUUAAGUCAGGGGUGAAAUCCCGGGGCUCAACCCCGGAACUGCCUUUGAUACUGGGUAUCUUGAGUUCGAGAGAGGUGAGUGGAAUUCCGAGUGUAGAGGUGAAAUUCGUAGAUAUUCGGAGGAACACCAGUGGCGAAGGCGGCUCACUGGCUCGAUACUGACGCUGAGGUGCGAAAGCGUGGGGAGCAAAC
rnacentral:rRNA from 1 species